rnacentral:rRNA from 1 species
AACCUGGUUGAUCCUGCCAGUAGUCAUAUGCUUGUCUCAAAGAUUAAGCCAUGCAUGUCUAAGUAUAAGCACUUGUACUGUGAAACUGCGAAUGGCUCAUUAAAUCAGUUAUCGUUUAUUUGAUUGUACUUUACUACAUGGAUACCUGUGGUAAUUCUAGAGCUAAUACAUGCGAAAAAUCCCGACUUCUGGAAGGGAUGUAUUUAUUAGAUUAAAAACCAAUGCGAGUCUUCGGGCUCGUUUUCUUGGUGAUUCAUGAUAACUUUUCGAAUCGCAUGGCCUAGCGCCGGCGAUAUUUCAUUCAAAUUUCUGCCCUAUCAACUGUCGAUGGUAAGGUAGUGGCUUACCAUGGUUAUAACGGGUGACGGAGAAUUAGGGUUCGAUUCCGGAGAGGGAGCCUGAGAAACGGCUACCACAUCUAAGGAAGGCAGCAGGCUCGAAAAUUACCCAAUCCCAAUUCGGGGAGGUAGUGACAAGAAAUAACGAUACGGGGUCUUAAUAGGUCUCGCAAUUGGAAUGAGUACAAUUUAAAUCCUUUAACGAGGAUCAAUUGGAGGGCAAGUCUGGUGCCAGCAGCCGCGGUAAUUCCAGCUCCAAUAGC